rnacentral:rRNA from 1 species
AUUGAACGCUGGCGGCAUGCUUUACACAUGCAAGUCGAACGGUAACAGGCCGCAAGGUGCUGACGAGUGGCGAACGGGUGAGUAAUGCAUCGGAACGUGCCCAGUCGUGGGGGAUAACGCAGCGAAAGCUGCGCUAAUACCGCAUACGAUCUAUGGAUGAAAGCGGGGGACCGUAAGGCCUCGCGCGAUUGGAGCGGCCGAUGUCAGAUUAGGUAGUUGGUGGGGUAAAGGCUCACCAAGCCGACGAUCUGUAGCUGGUCUGAGAGGACGACCAGCCACACUGGGACUGAGACACGGCCCAGACUCCUACGGGAGGCAGCAGUGGGGAAUUUUGGACAAUGGGCGCAAGCCUGAUCCAGCAAUGCCGCGUGCAGGAAGAAGGCCUUCGGGUUGUAAACUGCUUUUGUCAGGGAAGAAAUCUUCUGGGCUAAUACCCCGGGAGGAUGACGGUACCUGAAGAAUAAGCACCGGCUAACUACGUGCCAGCCGCCGCCGUAAUAC